AUGCCUGGCCGCGGUCUGCUUGGUGCCGAUGGAGCUGCAGGAGCGAGGAAGAACAAGAUGGUCAAGAUCGCUGUGACAGCUCUGGCCAUGGUGCUGCUGCUCACGGCGGCGGCUGUUUCCACGGCGCCCGACGGCCGUGGCCGGCUCCGCGCCUUCUUCAUGAUGAUCUGCGUGCUCUCCCAGAUCAACCUGGGCCGCCUUCUGGCGAGGGAGGCUGUUCGGGCGCGGACGACGGCGGCCCGGCGGUGCUACGCGGUGAGCGCCGUCGCGUGCUGCCUGGAGCUCGCGCUCAAGCUGUACAUGAUCCUGGUGCUGUGCCCGGCGGGGGUGGAGGAUGGUGUUCACUGUUUAGGUACGCCGCGCUCGGGUGGAUGUGCCUGCCAAAGGAUCGAAGAUUGA
rnacentral:rRNA from 1 species